rnacentral:rRNA from 1 species
GACGAACCGUGCGAACGUUGUUCGGAAUCACUGGGCGUAAAGGGUGCGUAGGCGGGUCUUUAAGUCAGGGGUGAAAUCCUGGAGCUCAACUCCAGAACUGCCUUUGAUACUGAAGAUCUUGAGUUCGGGAGAGGUGAGUGGAACUGCGAGUGUAGAGGUGAAAUUCGUAGAUAUUCGCAAGAACACCAGUGGCGAAGGCGGCUCACUGGCCCGAUACUGACGCUGAUGCACGAAAGCGUGGGGAGCAAACAGG